UGACGCGGAAAGUUGCCGAACCUGGAUUUAGUCCGGGCGAUCGAGCUGAUGGGGCUGUAGCUCAGCUGGGAGAGCACCUGCUUUGCAAGCAGGGGGUCAGCGGUUCGAUCCCGCUCAGCUCCACCAAAUCGAUUGGUGUUGAGACUGACGGCAAGUGUCUUCUGAAGAAAAAAAAGUUUGCAUCGACUUCGGUCGGAUGCCUGUUCUGCAUAUAUCGUGAAGAGAAGAUUGAUCUGGAGGCUUCCAGGUGUCGGGUUUUGCCCUUUUGGGUUUGAUCUGGCGUCCGAGCCCAGUUCUGCUGAAACCAUGGAUGGCCUAGCCGGCCGGAUAUGGUGGAGGGACUGGAGGUAGGAAGGAAGCUUGUCGCUCUGGAUCGUUUGUUGUUCGUUGUCCGCAAGGACGUCGUCUGAUGAACGAUCGGAUUACCGUUGCCUGACCGCGCGGUAUCGGAUCCAAUCUCGAGAAGCUGGUCUUAAGAUGAGAUCGCAAGCGGGCUGCUCGGCGUAGCUCCAAUAAAGCGAUCUUAUCGAACACGUCGAUGGCAUCAUUAGAAAGCAUUGGUUGUAAAAGGUAACCUCUGCAUUGCUGGUAAGGRAUUCCAGACCCAGCAAAGAUGAUGAGCAUUGGCAAUGAGAACGAUUAAGUGUCGUAAGGGCAUUUGGUGGAUGCCUUGGCAUGCACAGGCGAUGAAGGACGUGAUACGCUGCGAAAAGCCG
rnacentral:tRNA from 1 species